GGUAGUGCCAUUUUUUAUCGAGCUUUAAGUGAUUGGUUGUAGUGAGUUUAAACUCUGAGAAGAUAUUAAUGGGUCGGAUCCAAACCAAAUUUAACCCGACUCCAGAAAUCUCCCCCCGUUUAAUGAGCGCAAGAGCAAUCUGAAAUCGAGUUAGGUAACAGCAGCCGUUGGAUCUCCUCAAAUUUAAAAUGUGGACCAUUAGAUGAUCGAAUAUUCUCUAAAGAUUCCCGUCACAGGUGUUUUUUUGGUUACUCGACAAAAAUAACCCUACCAAAAUAAACUUCUUCCCAAGUUCUCCUCCGACUUCUUUCCUUUCUCAGUUUUCCCGCAGAAAAAUUCCUUCUAUCAUUCCACUGAAACCGUUCGACUCACAAUAAUGUGAAAUUAACCUUCGCCUCAAGUUUCUUCUCGGUUUUCAUGCAAUUAGCUCGAUAGGGUUAAUCGACAAAAGUGUUAGUAACGAACGGGUAGGAUGUUCGUGAGACAUUGAGGCCUGGGAAUUAUCAAAGAAGAAGUUUCAUGCUGAACCACUCAAUAGCUGGGUCCAUGCAGCUGAGAUUCGACUACGGGUCACCGCUAGAACGAGUACUGUAAUUGUUGUUUAUCCAGAUGUCUGAACUUAUGUGAAAAAAAUUGUUGAAUUAUUAACUUCUGAUUGAUAGAAGGAGAAAAGAAAAUCGUUUUACUGAUGCA